CAUGAGGAUUAUGGGAGAUGUAGUUUUUCGCCGCCUCUCCACCUGGGCGCCAACCAGUGGCGGAACUACAAUACCCACAAUAUAGUGCGCACUGCGGCACCUACAGGCCAGAGAGCGUCCGCCAUGUUAACACCCGAACGGCGGUGAACUGUCUCCAUCCAUCAGUAGCAGCUGCCGCUAGAUUCCUCUGCGGGAAUCCAGUUAACAGUGCUGAAGAAAAAACAGCGCCCUACUCUUCAAUUUUACCAGCAGUCCAGCCACGCCCUUCAUCUCUUUCACAGAUCAAAUUUUAGAAAAAAGUGACAUUCUGAAAAAUCCUCACAUUUCAUCCACUUAAUAUUUGUACAAGGAUGAACAACGAAGAAAGCUCAAUUGGGCAUUGGAAGCUUUAAUAGAGUUAGACUAUGAGAAGAAUGACAUCUGUGUUCUGCAGGCAUCUGCAGUAGGGGCGGGGAUGAGCGAGAUUGCAGAAUGCGGACAAUGAGGAAAGCAAUUUGACCGAGCCCACAGUUGCUGCAGAAUUUAUUUCACACUUCCAUCAUGUAUCCUUGUCUUUUUACUUUGGAAUGUCGGAAAGAGAGACAUUACACACAACAUUGUGAUAAAAUUAUGCCGUGCAUCAUUAGUUUAAAAAUGCCUUAGCUUAUUGCGAUAUUCAAUAUAGUAAUACUGUAUAUAUGUUUAAAUAUGUGAUUUUAGCGCACCUGACAUUGAAAUGGGAAUGUGCAGUGCAAAGCUCCACAAAGAGGAAGUUUUUGAUCAGUAAUAGGCAGAGGUUUAAAAUAAUCAGAUUUAAAAGCAUUCUGCCUCAGUGGUCGCAUUCUCACCUUUGAAUCAGAGUGGGGAUUCAAAUGCCACUCCAGAGAUUUAAACGUCAUCCAGGCCAGUGGUUCUCAAAUUUAUUUGGUUGAAGGAGUCAUUUUCAAAUGGAUUAGUAAUCAUUGAUCUCCAAAUAUAUGAUAUGAAAGUGCUGUAUGUAAGGGGUGUUUUAAUAAUGGAGCACUUUUUAGAAUCAGUCGAUUCUAAUUUCAGCAAGAGUAAAUUCUGCACUAAUAUGG